AUUGAACGCUGGCGGCAGGCCUAACACAUGCAAGUCGAACGAGGGGCGGAAGGGUGAGUAAUUUCUGGGACACUGCCUGCUGGAGGGGGAUAACUACUGGAAAGGGGAGCUAAUAGCGCAUACCAUCACAUGCGCACAUGUGGGAUGAGCUUGUGGGGGGGGUAACGGCUCACCAAGGGGACGAUCCCUAUCUGGUCUGAGAGGAUGACCAGCCACACGGGAACUGAGACACGGUCCAGACUACUACGGGAGGCAGCAGUGGGGAAGAUUGCACAAUGGGCGCAAGCCUGAUGCAGCCAUGCCGCGUGUAGGAAGAAGGCCUUCGGGUUGUAAAGUACUUUCAGCGGGGAGGCGUUACCCGCAGAAGAAGCACCGGCUAACUCCGUGCCAGCCGCCGCGGUAAUUC
rnacentral:rRNA from 1 species